UUACUGACGAUCACGCUGUGUAAAAUAAUAAUUAUUACGUGUGUAAACUUUAAUGAAGUCCUUUCAAAUUAUAAAGGUGGCGCAGGCGUCCAACAAGCAGGCGCAGUGUUGACGAAGCCAGGGAAACAACAUGAAAUGUGGUUACUGUGUUUACAUUUCCGUCGGAUACGACUGCUACGGCUCCUAGCUAAACGGUUAAACAUUCUUCUGUUCUGCAGUCAAGUAUAGGUGAAGAUCGAACGCCGUUGACGUGUUUACAAAGUGCGUGUGGCGGAUCCAAUGUGACCAUAGAAAGCGACUUUGCCAAAGUCCGGAUCGCAGUGAAUGUAUACGCGCCCUCGAAUCGGGAAGAGGAUUUCACUGGAACCAAAACAUCGAGGCAGUUGGCAACUUGUCAGAGUUGCGUAUCAUAAAGGCGUCAUCACUCGGAAGACACUUAAGGAAAUCGGCACCAGCGGAGGUGGACGGACGCCCCUACACAACGAGGAGAGGCCUCUGCUCAAAUGCGUCGUCAUAGCAGCAUUCACGCUGCGGCUGUUCCUCCUGCAGCGGAGCUGAAGGCCGUGAAAACCAUGCACAUGACCAACAACGCACACUAUAUAUUGACUCGUACCGUGAAGAAAAUGGCACGACGUAGCUGCUAGACAUUAUUGCAAUACCUGUACAGGGAUACGGAGAGAGCAAAAUGUAAUUGAGAACAAAUUCUCA